AUGGAGGACAGCAAUUCAACGUAUUUAUGCGCAGCAGAGUCAAGAGGGCUGCACUGUGCCUGGGACACACACCAGCAUAGUUCCGGGCGUACCACAGGGACACAGAUCAGCGCCUCAUUUAAGCCACCCUGUCCCCAAGAACACAAUGAAGAGUGCAGCUGGACUACUUCAAAUGGAGACACUUUGUGUUUCAUGGCCACUUGCUGUUACAGGGACAUUUCUGGUGCCUUUUUGACCGUAGGCUCAUUGGUGAGGCCUGAAGCAUCAUGCAGCUGGGCAGCCAUGUGCCUCGAUGGGAAUAAAAAUCGCAGCUGUGAUGCCAUUAGCAAUAGGAUUGCUGCCAUCUGUUGGUUGGAAUCACAUGGGGAACAGGAAGAGUCCUCGAAGGGACAGUGCCAUGUAAGAUGCAGAUCUGCUGAAACAAGGAUAUUUUGAUUGCAAUGACAAGUCCGAUGCAAUCAUGCUUUGGAAAUGGGGAGGGGGGCACCAAGUGAUUAGUCUGCAUUGUUGUAUUACAUCCUUGCCGCCCUGCAUAUCAGCUCAAAACCUUUGCUGAAGUGCUGGGUAAAGUUUUGUAUUUUCAGAAAGUGUGAAAAUAAUUUAAACUUCACGGUUAAAAUUUGUAAAAUUUUGAAUAACUAUUGGAUAAUAAGUUCCAAUAUACUUCAGAGACUGCAUUACUAUGCAGUAAAGGAAAUCCUUCACUUUGUAGCCAUUGCAUCUUUAAAGGUGAUGCUUUACCUUAACACAUUUCAGCACACACCUCUGAAUCCACUUUUCCCCAUAUUUAAAUAUGUGCUUUCCUUCCACAGUGAUGGUCACUUGUGUUCUGCAGACCUGACCUGGGCUCUGCUGAAUGAUGCCUUUGGGGACUUUCCCAGGCCCCCAAGAACCUGACCAGCCACUCACCUGGGGUCUUGGGUCUUGCCAAACCACCUCUGGGGUACAAAAACGCAGGCUGUGGGUCUACAAAUAUUUCCCUUUGCAGCAGUGCCAGCUCCAGCAGUUUGUGCUGCUGAUUGCUCGUGGCCACCCCACAGCUAUGCCCUUGCUAACUACUGUUCCUGGGAUGGCACCGUAGGCCAAACAAGCAAACUCACAUGGACUGGAAAUAACCACUCCCCUUUCUUUUUUAAAAAAAAUAUAUAUUUUUUUUAAAGCUGCAUGAAUUUCCCGGACCCGUCUGUAUGUCCUCCCACAAACACAGCACAGCUGAUGGAGGAGAGCACCUGGAGAACUGCUGAAUGCUACUGCUGUGACAAAUGCAUGCCCGUGUCAGCAGGGCUGUCAGCGUAGCCCAAACUUGUAAAAGUUUUCGACCAGCCUAUCAAAUAAGUUUCAUAGGCUUGUCCAAAGGCUGUAACUAACCAGGUUUUAGCAUCUCUGCCCUCCAAACGCAGAUCAGCUCAAAACUCACAUUCACUACCUGUAGCUC
rnacentral:lncRNA from 1 species